GCGUUGUUCGGAAUUACUGGGCGUAAAGGGCGCGUAGGCGGCCUGCUAAGUCGCACGUGAAAUCCCCGGGCUCAACCCGGGAACUGCGUCCGAUACUGGUAGGCUUGAAUUCGGGAGAGGGAUGCGGAAUUCCAGGUGUAGCGGUGAAAUGCGUAGAUAUCUGGAGGAACACCGGUGGCGAAGGCGGCAUCCUGGACCGACAUUGACGCUGAGGCGCGAAAGCGUGGGGAGCGAACAGG
rnacentral:rRNA from 1 species